rnacentral:rRNA from 1 species
ACUCAAAGGAAUAGACGGGGGCCCGCACAAGCGGUGGAGCAUGUGGUUUAAUUCGAUGCAACGCGAAGAACCUUACCAAGACUUGACAUCCCUCUGACCGGCGUAGAGAUACGCUUUCCCUACGGGGCAGAGGAGACAGGUGGUGCAUGGUUGUCGUCAGCUCGUGUCGUGAGAUGUUGGGUUAAGUCCCGCAACGAGCGCAACCCUUAUCCUUAGUAGCAACCGGUUAAAGCCGGGCACUUUAAGGAGACUGCCGUGGAUAACACGGAGGAAGGCGGGGAUGAGGUCAAAUCAUCAUGCCCUUUAUGUCUUGGGCAACACACGUGCUACAAUGGCUGCAACAAAGUGAAGCUAACUCGCGAGAGCAAGCCAACCACAAAAAAGCAGUCUCAGUUCGGAUUGCAGUCUGCAACUCGACUGCAUGAAGCCGGAAUCGCUAGUAAUCGCGGAUCAGCAUGCCGCGGUGAAUACGUUCCCGGGCCUUGUACACACCGCCCGU